rnacentral:rRNA from 1 species
UACAGAGGUGGCAAGCGUUGUUCGGAAUUACUGGGCGUAAAGGGCUCGUAGGUGGCCAACUAAGUCAGACGUGAAAUCCCUCGGCUUAACCGGGGAACUGCGUCUGAUACUGGAUGGCUUGAGUUCGGGAGAGGGAUGCGGAAUUCCAGGUGUAGCGGUGAAAUGCGUAGAUAUCUGGAGGAACAACGGUGGCGAAGGCGGCAUCCUGGACCGAUACUGACGCUGAGGAGCGAAAGCCAGGGGAGCAAACGGG